rnacentral:lncRNA from 1 species
CCUCUACCCCUUCUUUCCUGGACCCCGCCCCCCAUCUGUUUCCAACGCGCGGAGAAGCAGGGCGGGAGGGCAGAUUCGGCGCUCUAGUCAACUGUGGCCACAUGGAAGAAUUGGAGGAUAGGGUUCACGCCUUCUUCCCAGUAGAAUAUGUGAGGGAGGAGGUGAGGCUGGACGAAGGCUGGGUAAUACUGAACCGGGGGGAACUCAAUUCUUGUUCCUGAAGGGAACACAUACGCGCGCGCAGGCACACAUACGCACGUCCCAUUCAAACACUGUUAGACUUUUAAACCGAAAUCCAAAAGGAGCCUGACUUGCCUCCUGUUGCAAUAAUCCCGUUGCAGUGUCAAAGGCCGAGAAGCAUUCUCUCGUUGCAUCAUUUUUAUGCUCAGUGAGAGGUCUAGCACCAGAGCUCUUAGAUUCCUCUGCUCUGCAAAAGUAUGAUCCCAGCCCCCAGGACUCUUCAUAUUCCCCUCUCGCGUGGACUGUGCCUUUUCAAGGUGGGAGGUGGAGUUGACAUCCCAUCGUCGAGUUUCAGAUUUGCCUUCGAAGGUGGCGAGGUCAAGAGACUGAGUCCACGGAAAAUGACAUGGAAGAGACUCCAGCUCUGCUUACUCUCUGCCGACUGCAGUUCCCUUUCUAUGGUUCUGCUUAGUAGAUUCAACUUUGCUGAUUUCCUGAACUAAAAGGAGGUUGGGCUGAAUUUAAUCCUGCAAUUCUGGACUGUAUUGACUUGAAAAUAACCCGGCAAACUCCACUUACACCAAGGAGACAUCCACAUGCAACACACACUCGUUUCUGUUGUGAACAGCGUCCACAAUUCAUUCUCAUGCAGCUUGUCUGAAAGUCCUUGCUGAUUAAUGUUUUACAGUCAAUCUCCACUUAGCCACACUCAAUCCCCACACACGUACAUGAUGUAAUAUAUUAUAAACUCGCUACAAACCCUAGCAAAAAAACGCUCACUGUGUGCAAACUAUAAUUCCCGUGUGUGUACAUAUACUUCCACGAAUGCAUACAGCAAGGACAAUGGGGUUAACAAAAGGAACCAAGGUCAAUGGUUUGCACACAUUGAGUUGGGGAAGCUAACACGGAGGCGAAAUACUUAUGCUCUGACUCUAGUUCCUAACUUCUUUCACAUUUACUUGGUUUUAGGAUUAAAGGAACCAGAAACUGAAAUUUUUACUGCAAGGCAAAG